UAAUUCCGCUGUGCCCUCACCUGUCUCCCUAGAACCUACAACUUCUCCACCGAUGGCUUCCACAGUGCAGCCCUGGGGGCUGGCCUGUGCCUGAGCACCGGGGUGCACGGCGGCGUGGACUGGAUGAGGAAGCUGGCCUUCCGCUACCGGGUGAAGGAGAUGUAUAACACCUACCGGGACAACGUGGGCAGAUUGAUAGGAGCUCCCAAAAGAGAGACUUGGCUACAGCUCUGAGCAGAGCUGGAGGCGCUGACAGACCUCUGGCUCAUGCACUUUCUGAAGGCACUAAACCUCAUCAACUCCCGGCCCAACUGUGUCAUAGUGCUGGUCACCACCACCCUACUGAACCCUGCCCUGGCCAAAGUCUUGCUGUACGGACUGGGUUCCAUGUUCCCCAUGGAGAAGAUCUACAGUGCCACCAAGACAGAUAGGGCGCAGCCAGCCUUCGAGGAAGCAGGAGCAGGGGGCUGGGAGGGCUGGCCGGGGGUGGCAGGGGCUGGCUUCCUGUGCUGGGAACAGGGCAGCCAGGGAAAGGUCACCGGGGAGGUUUACUAACCUGUCCAUGACCCUCACAGCCCUUUCACCAGGGUGGACAACAGAAAACUAAUAGCACUAAAUGAAUGCUCUCCUCCUGCAUGACUAGAAUGAGCACCUGAUUUGCACCACUUAUCUUCUUUUUAUGACAGGGAAUGUUGAUUUUUUUUUGUGCGUGGGGAGCUGAUUUUUUUGGACUUGGGGUAACCUGGAAUUGAGCUCAGGAACUGAGCCACAUCCCCCAGCCCUAUUUUGUGUUUUAUUUAGAGACAGGGUCUCACUGAGUUUCUUAGCUCAUUGCUUUUUGAUGAACUGGCUUGGCCACUCCCGGAUCCUCAUGGAACCUAGGUAUCUUCCACCACCCCCCUCCACCCCCCCCCUGCAGUGCCUCCUACAGCACCCCCUGCAGCACCUGGAUCCAGUGCCCAGAUCCUUUUGCCUCAGCCUCCCAAGCCAUUGGGGUUACAGGUGUGCUCCACUCUGCCUGGCAUUUUUUCAAUUUUCAUAUCACCUGGAAAUGUAUAUGAAUACAAAAUAAAGCUAGUUAGUGGACGUGUUUUUGAUCAGAAAUUCUUACCUUUUUUUUCUGGAGAAGAAAAAAAUCUAGUUCUUCAGAUGCAAAGUGUCUUCGAGCAGCUCUUUGCUUUUUGCUUGUAGUGAUUUUCUAAGUCUGACUAUGACUUAGAAAUGGAGCCUUUAGAGUUUAAAAUAACCGCAAUUCAGGUGAAAAAGUUUAUUAGACUAACAUUUGCAAACAAAACUUUGGGGGCCUUCUCAUUUUCUUCCCUGGAUCCUCUGGGCAGGUGUCCUU
rnacentral:lncRNA from 1 species